UCAUCAUAUAGACAUUUAUUCUAACAUAAUUGUUUUAUUCAAUCGCAAUUAUUUAUUUAACAGUUUUCAAGUGGUGGCUUAUAUAGGCUAUUUUAACGAAAUUUCCAUAAGAAAGGAAAAUCCAUUUACUCGAAAAUAUUCAAUGUCACUCUCAGAUAAAUUUAAAAAGCGGUCCCAUGUUAUCUAAAAAUUAUCAAGAGUAUAUUUUAUCGUGUUACGGUGAAAUAAACUAAUAUGUUUAUGGGAAAACCGUUUUUCACGGGACAACUUUGCUCUUUCCGUAUUUAUAGUAGGUGCGUAUAGCUUCAAAACAUUUCAGAACAUUAUAUACAGUGG